rnacentral:rRNA from 1 species
GUGGGGAAUAUUGGACAAUGGGCGAAAGCCUGAUCCAGCCAUGCCGCGUGUGUGAAGAAGGUCUUCGGAUUGUAAAGCACUUUAAGUUGGGAGGAAGGGCAGUAAGUUAAUACCUUGCUGUUUUGACGUUACCGACAGAAUAAGCACCGGCUAACUUCGUGCCAGCAGCCGCGGUAAUACGAAGGGUGCAAGCGUUAAUCGGAAUUACUGGGCGUAAAGCGCGCGUAGGUGGUUUUGUAAGUUGGAGGUGAAAUCCCCGGGCUCAACCUGGGUACUGCCUCCAAAACUGCAUGACUAGAGUACGGUAGAGGGUAGUGGAAUUUCCUGUGUAGCGGUGAAAUGCGUAGAUAUAGGAAGGAACACCAGUGGCGAAGGCGACUACCUGGACUGAUACUGACACUGAGGUGCGAAAGCGUGGGGAGCAAACAGGAUUAGAAACCCUAGUAGUCC